rnacentral:rRNA from 1 species
UACGUAGGGUGCAAGCGUUAAUCGGAAUUACUGGGCGUAAAGCGUGCGCAGGCGGUUGUGCAAGACAGAUGUGAAAUCCCCGGGCUCAACCUGGGAACUGCAUUUGUGACUGCACGACUGGAGUGCGGCAGAGGGGGAUGGAAUUCCGCGUGUAGCAGUGAAAUGCGUAGAUAUGCGGAGGAACACCGAUGGCGAAGGCAAUCCCCUGGGCCUGCACUGACGCUCAUGCACGAAAGCGUGGGGAGCAAACAGG